GAUGAACGCUGGCGGCGUGCCUAAUACAUGCAAGUCGAGCGAACGGACGAGAAGCUUGCUUCUCUGAUGUUAGCGGCGGACGGGAGAGUAACACGUGGAUAACCUACCUAUAAGACUGGGAUAACUUCGGGAAACAGGAGCUAAUACCGGAUAAUAUUUUGAACCGCAUGGUUCAAAAGUGAAAGACGGUCUUGCUGUCACUUAUAGAUGGAUCCGCGCUGCAUUAGCUAGUUGGUAAGGUAACGGCUUACCAAGGCAACGAUGCAUAGCCGACCUGAGAGGGUGAUCCGCCACACGGGAACUGAGACACGGUCCAGACUCCUACGGGAGGCAGCAGUAGGGAAUCUUCCGCAAGGGGCGAAAGCCUGACGGAGCAACGCCGCGUGAGUGAUGAAGGUCUUCGGAUCGUAAAACUCUGUUAUUAGUGAAGAACAAAUGUGUAAGUAACUGUGCACAUCUUGACGGUACCUAAUCAGAAAGCCACGGCUAACUACGUG
rnacentral:rRNA from 1 species